rnacentral:rRNA from 1 species
UGCAAGUCGAGCGCGGGAAGCAAGCAGAGCUCCUUCGGGAGUGACGCUUGUGGAACGAGCGGCGGACGGGUGAGUAACACGUGGGCAACCUACCUGUAAGACUGGGAUAACUCCGGGAAACCGGGGCUAAUACCGGAUGAAACAAAGCGUCGCAUGACGCAAUGUUAAAAGGCGGCAUAUGCUGUCACUUACAGAUGGGCCCGCGGCGCAUUAGCUAGUUGGUGAGGUAAAGGCUCACCAAGGCAACGAUGCGUAGCCGACCUGAGAGGGUGAUCGGCCACACUGGGACUGAGACACGGCCCAGACUCCUACGGGAGGCAGCAGUAGGGAAUCUUCCGCAAUGGACGAAAGUCUGACGGAGCAACGCCGCGUGAGUGAUGAAGGUUUUCGGAUCGUAAAACUCUGUUGUUAGGGAAGAACAAGUGCCAUUCGAAUAGGUUGGCACCUUGACGGUACCUAACCAGAAAGCCCCGGCUAACUACGUGCCAGCAGCCGCGGUAAUACGUAGGGGGCAAGCGUUGUCCGGAAUUAUUGGGCGUAAAGCGCGCGCAGGCGGUCCUUUAAGUCUGAUGUGAAAGCCCACGGCUUAACCGUGGAGGGCCAUUGGAAACUGGAGGACUUGAGUACAGAAGAGGAGAGUGGAAUUCCACGUGUAGCGGUGAAAUGCGUAGAGAUGUGGAGGAACACCAGUGGCGAAGGCGACUCUCUGGUCUGUAACUGACGCUGAGGUGCGAAAGCGUGGGUAGCGAACAGGAUUAGAUACCCUGGUAGUCCACGCCGUAAACGAUGAGUGCUAGGUGUUAGGGGGUUUCCGCCCCUUAUUGCUGAAGUUAACGCAUUAAGCACUCCGCCUGGGGAGUACGGCCGCAAGGCUGAAACUCACAAGAAUUGACGGGGACCCGCACAACCGGUGGAGCAUGUGGUUUAAUUCGAAGCAACGCGAAGAACCUUACCAGGUCUUGACAUCCUCUGACACCCCUAGAGAUAGGGCAUUCCCUUCGGGGACAGAGUGACAGGUGGUGCAUGUUGUCGUCAGCUCUUGUCUUGAGAUGUUGGGUUA